rnacentral:tRNA from 2 species
CGGGGCGUGGCGCAGCCUGGUAGCGCAUCUGCUUUGGGAGCAGAGGGUCGUGAGUUCGAAUCCCACCGCCCCGACCA